rnacentral:rRNA from 1 species
AGAGUUUGAUCCUGGCUCAGAAUCAACGCUGGCGGCGUGCCUAACACAUGCAAGUCGAACGCGCUCAGCAAUGAGCGAGUGGCGGACGGGUGAGGAACACGUGGGUGAUCUACCUUGAGGUGAGGAAUACCGGCGAGAAAUCGCCGACAAUACCGCAUGAGCUCGGAAGAGCAAAGUCGCAAGACGCCUUGAGAUGAGCC